UCUUUUUUAAACUCAAAAAUUUAAAUUAUUUUUGUUUGUGAAGAAACAACAAUAACAAUUAAGGACAAGAAGACCCUAAGAAUUUUUAAUUAAUGAUUACUAACUUAAAUAAAUAAUUAUUAAUUUUAACUGGGGUGAUUAAUAAAAAUUAAAAACUUUAUUAUAAAAUAAUAUGAACCAUUAAUAAUGGUUUUUUGAAAAAAAUACUCUAGGGAUAACAGCGUAAUAAUUUUUAAUAGUUCAUAUAGACAAAAUAGUUUGCGACCUCGAUGUUGGAUUAGGAUUCUUAU
rnacentral:rRNA from 1 species